AUGAACGCUGGCGGCGUGCCUAAUACAUGCAAGUCGAGCGAACAGACGAGGAGCUUGCUCCUCUGACGUUAGCGGCGGACGGGUGAGUAACACGUGGAUAACCUACCUAUAAGACUGGGAUAACUUCGGGAAACCGGAGCUAAUACCGGAUAAUAUAUUGAACCGCAUGGUUCAAUAGUGAAAGACGGUUUUGUUGUCACUUAUAGAUGGAUCCGCGCCGCAUUAGCUAGUUGGUAAGGUAACGGCUUACCAAGGCGACGAUGCGUAGCCGACCUGAGAGGGUGAUCGGCCACACUGGAACUGAGACACGGUCCAGACUCCUACGGGAGGCAGCAGUAGGGAAUCUUCCGCAAUGGGCGAAAGCCUGACGGAGCAACGCCGCGUGAGUGAUGAAGGUCUUCGGAUCGUAAAACUCUGUUAUUAGGGAAGAACAAAUGUGUAAGUAACUAUGCACGUCUUGACGGUACCUAAUCAGAAAGCCACGGCUAACUACGUG
rnacentral:rRNA from 1 species